GACGAACGCUGGCGGCGUGCUUAACACAUGCAAGUCGAACGGAAAGGCCCUGCUUUUGUGGGGUGCUCGAGUGGCGAACGGGUGCGUAACACGUGAGUAACCUGCCCUUGACUUUGGGAUAACUUCAGGAAACUGGGGCUAAUACCGGACAGGAGCUCCCGCUGCAUGGUGGGGGUUGGAAAGUUUCGGCGGUUGGGGCUGGACUCGCGGCUUACCAGCUAGUUGGUGGGGUAGUGGCUUACCAAGGCUUUGACGGGUAGCCGGCCUGAGAGGGUGACCGGCGACAUUGGGACUGAGGGACGGCCCAGACUCCUACGGGAGGCAGCGGGGGGGAAUAUUGCACAAUGGGCGGGAGCCUGAUGCGGCAACGCCGCGUGCGGGAUGACGGCCUUCGGGUUGAAAACCGCUUUCGCCUGUGACGAAGCGGGAGUGACGGUAAUGGGUAAAGAAGCACCGGCUAACUACGUG
rnacentral:rRNA from 1 species